rnacentral:rRNA from 1 species
GAUGAACGCUGGCGGCGUGCCUAAUACAUGCAAGUCGAGCGAACAGAUGAGGAGCUUGCUCCUCUGACGUUAGCGGCGGACGGGUGAGUAACACGUGGAUAACCUACCUAUAAGACUGGGAUAACUUCGGGAAACCGGAGCUAAUACCGGAUAAUAUAUUGAACCGCAUGGUUCAAUAGUGAAAGACGGUUUUGCUGUCACUUAUAGAUGGAUCCGCGCCGCAUUAGCUAGUUGGUAAGGUAACGGCUUACCAAGGCGACGAUGCGUAGCCGACCUGAGAGGGUGAUCGGCCACACUGGAACUGAGACACGGUCCAGACUCCUACGGGAGGCAGCAGUAGGGAAUCUUCCGCAAAGGGCGAAAGCUUGACGGAGCAACGCCGCGUGAGUGAUGAAGGUCUUCGGAUCGUAAAACUCUGUUAUUAGGGAAGAACAAAUGUGUAAGUAACUAUGCACGUCUUGACGGUACCUAAUCAGAAAGCCACGGCUAACUACGUG